GUCAGGCGCUGGGCACACAGGUGGACCAGGGAGGCGGAGCUUGGACGAGCAGGGAGGCGGGGCUGGAAGUUCCUGCUCCCCAGGAGGGGAAGACGCAGCCAGAACUUUUGCUGGUAUUUUGGACUUGACAAGAGCUGUGUCUUGAAAGAAUAAUCGACAGCGACUUCUGGAUCCCUUUCCUUGGUGGCAACUGGCAGUUCAGAGUUCAUUAUCUUAAAGGACUGGACAAGAGCCCUGUUCCAGUCACCUCAGAAGGAGGCCAUGUCAGGCUUCCAAUGGGUUGUCCCCCAUUGGAAACACAUCAGCCAGAGGACUGCACCCGUUCCCCUCGUGCGUGACUGUUCCCCUUCCGUCUCCCCUACAGUGGAGCUCGCCAUUGUGGUGAGAAGAGGAGAGAGCUUUGCUCUGGAGUUCUCUGACUUGGGAGCUGCUCCAUGAUUUUUUUUUUCUGCAGCAGAUGCUCUGGUAAAACAAAUAUAAAAUGAAUGGCAAGUUGUUCUCCUUCUUGGUGGGCAUCUUCUCUAUCCUCAACACCAUCCAGUUCCUCAUCUUCGACUUGAACCAGAGUGCAUUGGUUGGCUAUGAAGAUAAGUUCAGUGUCUACAUGGACACAAACUCUGACUUAGUCGCUUGGGUCAUCUUCAACAGGAAGGACAUCAGCAUCACCCUGUCCACCAUCACCAUCGUGGUCAGCUUGUUGCUCCUCUAUUGCGUUCACAUAAACAACUACGUGGGGCUGCUGUGCUAUGCCUUGUGGAUGGUCACCUGCGAGCUCAUCAACUUCUCCAUUGUCCUGCUCAUCAACGGGACCGUCAAAGAGGCAUUCAAGGAGCUUAGUUACCUGGAGUUGGUCCUCCAAAUCUCCCGCAUGCUCUUGUACUUCUGCUGUCUGCCCUUCAUCACCAAGUACAUGUACACACUUUACAAGGACCCCAAGAUGUUUGGCAAGAUAGGUCGCCGCAGGCAGUCCUCCAUCUGUACAGUCGAUUCGUGGGCGCCUGUUGGGCUGGGAACGUUGUACCGCAAGAUAAACUGAACUGUCUCAGGAAGAAGAGAGAGAGAGGGACCAUGCUCCCCAACCAUCGCUCCCUCUUUUCCUACUUGCCUUCUGUUGAUUCCACUUGCCUUUUCAGGGUCCUCGAGUUUUAUGCACUUAAGAGUGAUUCUUGGGGGAGGGAGAGUUGCACGGAUCAAUUAUUGUGCAUGAGUGUGUUUGUGACUUGUUUUAGCAUUUAAUUAUAUACCACCUUUGUGCUUGUGUAACCGUCUCAUUGGUGUUUGCUCUUGUCUGUCAUGGUCCCCUCCUCUCUGCAUGUCCUUCGUUUCUAAUUUUUUCUUGUGGGUUGCCCCACAGACGCAUGGUUCUGCUAAGUCAUUUUGGAAUAGCGCUGUCAGAUAGAACUUUCUGUGCUGAUGGAAAUGUUCUAUAUCUAUGCUUUCCACUCGCCAUAUGUAGUAUUGAGCACUUGGAACAUGGCUAUUCCAACCCAGGAGUGAAAUUUUAAAUUUUAUUCCAUUUUAAUUACAGGCACACCUCAGAGAGAUGGCGGGUUCAGUUCCAGACCACUGCAAUAAAGCAAAUAUCGCAAUAAAGCAAGUCACUGAGUUUUUUGGUUUCCCAGUGCAUAUAGAAGUUACGUUUACACGAUAUUAUAUUAAGUGUGCAAUAGCCUUAUGUCUAAAAAAAGCAAAGUGCACACCUUAAUUAAAAAAUACUUUAUUGCUAAAAAAUGCUAACCAUCACCUGAGCCUUCAGUGAGGCGUAAUCUUUUUGCUGGUAGAGGAUCUCAUAAAAAAUGCAUAUCUGUGAAGCACAAUAAAACAAAGCACAAUAAAAUGAGAUGUGCCUAUAAUUUCAAUUUCAACAGCCACAUGCGGCUGGCUCGUGGUCUCCAUGUUGCAGAGCACAGUGACGUGGAGCCUCAUUCUACUCCUGCAUGGAACCAUAGAAAGAACCCCUGUCCAGCUUCACGCAUCCUCUGCUUCCCUCAUACUUUCCAAAAAGCAGUUUCUCAUGUUGGUUCAUAGCAUGGCAAGAAGAAUCCCCGUUGAAGAAAGCUCCAGGAUUUCUCAAUUUAAGCGCUGUGGACAUUUUGGACUGGAUAAUUCUGUCUUGUAGGGGGCUGUCCUGUGCGUCAUGGAGGUUUAGCAGCAUACAUGGCCUCUACCCACUAGAUGCCAGUAGCAUCCUCCCACCCUUGUAACAACUGAAAAUGUCUGCAGACGUUGCCAAAUGUUCCCUGGGGGGUAAAAUUGCCCCCAGCUGAGAACCACUAUUUUGAAGCAACACACCCUGCGCUGACAGUUGGUAUGCCACUACUGUUAACUAGCGGAGAGCAUCUUUUAUCGAGAGCUCCUUACAUUAAUGCACCACCUCGUGUAGUUUUCAUUUUAACACUCCCAUUUUAUGUUUUGGUGGAACGGAGGCUCAGGGCGCUUAAGUGAUGUGAUCAAGGUCACCUAGUAGCAAAAUCAGGAUUUGAAUCUAGAUCAUCUGAUUUCAUACACGAAUGUCCUACCUAAUUCCCUGAAGCACUCUUACUUUUACCAAGAUAAAAAAAAAAUAAUAAAUUAAAAAAAAAAAGAGGGACCUCUUUUUAGGAUAUUUUCUUUCUCUUCAAAAAAUGUUGGGAGGGAAGUCAAAAGGACCCUGUUUGUUUUGGCCACACCCUCCAAACCAUGAGCGUAACGACAGUAGCCUACUUUUACUGAAUAUUGAAUAAGUGCCAAGUACUAUUCUAACAAUUCACUCAAUUCUUCCCACCGUCCUGAGGGAUAAAUUUGGAUCCAGGUCAGUUCCCAAAAUGACCACCAGAUGGCAGUCCGCAAUAAGCUUUUGCUUAGCGCUGUCUGCCUUCGUAAGUCAGAUCCUCCAGGGUUGGCUGAGUUGGGAUGUAUUGGGUCUCAAACUGAUGACUGGGGACUUACAGUGUGUGUCCCUGCUCUAGUCUCACAAGGCGUGCCUUGCCUGGUUGUGACUCGCUGGUACCAAAAACAAAAAAUAAAACGUAGGCAGACUUCAGGGUUCUGAUCCCCCAUCCCGGCUGGCUUGGUGGUGGGGAGGUGGGGAGACUGGAGACCAGUGUGUGGAAGAGGUGGAGGGAGAAGCAGAGUUCCAAGAAUCAGCUCAACCAAGAGUUACCUGAUGCUUAAGAUGCUCAGACACAAGAGUGCGCGCCCCUCUACACCGACUCACUCACCAAAGCCGUUGUUUGCAUCCGCUUCUGCUUCCUGGCCCCCCUUUCUCUCUAGAAGCCCCUGCACUGCACUGAGACUGCACUUGUUAGGGUGAUGUCCACGCUGCCCAAUCCCGCACUCAGACUUCUCUUGCCAGACCUCUCCAUGGGAUUCAACCAGCUGAUCCCUUCCUGUCCUGUAAGCAGGUCUCUGUCCUGACCUAUGGGACACCAGGGCCGCCACUCUCCAUGCACCACCUGGCUCGCUGGCCCUCCUCCUCCGUCUCCUUUGCUGGCUCCUCCUCAUCGCCCUGACCUCCAAACAUUGGAGUGCUCCAGGACUCAGUCCUUGCUCCACUUCUCGUCUCUGUCUCGGUCACUCCCAGCUCCCCUUGGCCAGGCCCUUCGUGGGUAACCCCGUAUUGACGUCUCCAAUCUGUAUGUCUCCCCGGAAAUCUGCUCUUGUUGAUCCAAUUGCUUCCUCGCUGUUGCAGGCGCCUCUAACACGGUUCCCAAUGUUCCCAGCCAACUGGUAUUCACACCCAUCACCUCUCCUUGGACGGUCCGCUAGUCUGGGCUUAGUGACCCUCUUCUAACACACAGAACAUGGCAAAGGGAUGGGAUGUCACCUCAAAGAUUAGCUUACAAAGAGACAGUGCCUCCAGUGUUGCUCGCUCUCUCUCAGGGCAGCCAGCUGCCAGUUUGGGAGCAUCUUGGGGGAGAGGACCGCAUGGCCCGGAAAUGGCUUCUCUGGCCAACAAGGACCUGAAUCCCACCGAAAGCCACGAGUGAACCUGGAAGCACAUCGUCCCUUAGUCAAGUCUGGCGGUGACCACAGCCCGGGCUGAAGACCCUGCCUGCAGAUGACAGACCCUGAGUUGGAAGUGAGGCCUGAGUUGCUGACCCACAGAAACUGUGACAUAAUAAAUGUGUGUUCUCCUAAGCCACCAAGUUUUGGAGUAAUUUGCCACACAGCAAUCAAUAACUAGCGCCCGUAACAUCUCCACAUUAGUGCCCAGUGGCCGUCUCAAAACAGGUCCCAAUCCACACUCGUGAUUUUUUCCCAAAAACCUGCCCUAAGUCCCAGUCUUUCCCGCUUCCGGCCUUCCAGUUGCUCAGGUCAAAGACCCAGGAGUCAUCCUUGGGUUCCCUCUUUCUCCCAGCCUUUAUCCAACCCCUCGACAAACCCUGUCAGCCCACCUUCAGUGUAGACCCAGACGCCACCACAGCUCACCGCCUCCACUGCCACCACCCUGACCCAAGAUGUCACCGUCUUUUGACCAGGCUUUUGCUAUAGCAGCGUCCCAAUUGGUCUCCCUGACGCCACCCUUGUUCCCCCUACAGUCAGUUCUCCACCCGGCAGCCAGAGGGACCCUACUGAAACCUAAGUCAGAUCAUGUCCCUUCUCCACUCAGCUGUUCAUAUCCUGCCAGUGUUCCCUACCACACUCAGAGUAAAACUCCCGAGUCUUUACCCUGUCGUGCUGGGGCUAAGUGAUCCAGCUCCCUGUCAUCCCUCUGAUCUCCUUUCUAGCCCCUUUGUCCUCUCUCUCUGCUCCAGGCCCAUCAGCCUCCUUGCAGUUCCUCUUACACACCCCAGCCUCAGGGCCUUUGCAUUUGCCAUUCCUUCAGCCUGGAAUGUUCUUACUCCAGAUAUCCACUGGCUUCCUGUUUUGUUUCCUUCAGAUGUCUGCUCAAAAGUCAUAAGAGAGGCCUUCCCUACCAAACUAUGUGAAACAACCCCUCCCCACCCAAUCCCUCCCUAACCCACUUACCCUGCUUUAUUUUUUUCAUAACACUUAUCACCUGACUUACUAUAUAUAGUAACCACCCCACCCCCCAAAUAUGAGCACCAUAUAUCCUUCAUUGCUGUUUCCCCAGCACCCAGAACAACACCCAGCACACAGCAGGUGCUCAAUACACAUUUGUGGAACGAAGGGACACGAACCCUCAGCAGAACAGAAUGGCCUGUUGUUCCUCAUUUUCCAAAUGGUGGUUGCGGUUGGAUGGGCUGGUGAGGGGCGAGUUCUUGUGGCUCUUCCAGCGUCCUCUUCCACUGCUCUCUCCGCUCGCUCACUUCUGGAGUCAGAGGACGCGAUUUCAGCUUCCUUGUCCCUCUCCUCCUGCCCUCGUCCUUUCCGUGGCACCAGCCGCUGACACUAGAAACACCGCAUAAUCUUCCAGCUCCUUGUCACCAAGACUUCUGAAGCGCACAGGUGUCGCGAGAGCUGCCGCCCACCCCUGUGAAGAUCUCUGGCCUUGCGUCCUCCCUUUCUUCACGUGUUUGCUGAGUGUCUGCUGGGUAGCAGGCCCUGAGCUGGGAACUGGAGAAUAUCCUGGAAGGCAUGACACAGCCCACAGCCCGAGGGCUCCCAGCCUAGUGAGGGGCACAACUGCGCAGGGCCAUUUGGGCCCAGGAUAGUAGGUGCUGGGGGAAGCACUGUGGGCCACAGGAGGAAUCCCAACUCUUGGAGAGUGGAGAAUCAGGGAAGUCUUCCUGGAGGAGGAGACCUUUAAGCUGAGUCCUGGAGGAGAGUCUGAUUUAGCUCUGAGGAGGUAGGGGAGGAAACAGAAAGGUGGGAGGCCGAGAAGGUGCAGAUACCCCAGAGAUAGGAAGCUGUAAGCUCUUAUCCAUUGUUUCCCCCUCAGGGGGAAGUAAGGGGCUCUGUGCAGGGGACAAAGGCGACAAGAGGAAGCAAGCAGGCACGAACUUCCCCAGAGAGAAGAGGGUCCCCCCUGUUCCCACGGCCUUGGCUGGCUGCUCCCAGAAGGUGCUUGCUCUUAGGUAAACAGCCAUUCUGUAUUUCUGAGCAUCUUUCCCACCUCACUUCUGCCCAUGUGACUUCAAGUUUCCCCUAGCAGCUGUGUCCCACGGAGGACAGACUUCAUUCUGGGUUGACUUCUCCCCACCACUUUCAAGAUGUGUGAAUAUUUCCACCUGCUCUACUUCUUUUUUCCUCAUGGCCUUGGGUCUCCUUUCCCCCUGCUUCCUUUCCCCCAGAACUGCCCACAUCCAUUGCUACUGUUCUCGGCCUUCAAGGCCCUCUUUUUCCCUUUCUUCAGUCUCUUCUGACUAUCAGUCUCUAUCUAUGGAUUGAUGCUUUUCUUUUCUUUUUUUCCAAUCAAUUUGCUCACCCAACAAGUGGUUAACGAAGGCCCCUGAGAGCUGGCGCCUGGGUGAGGCUGCCGUGGUGACGGAGGCUGAGCUCCUGACUCUGGAGACGGCCUUUCAUGUGGGCAGGCUCCUCAGUGAACCCUCCUCAGCUUCCUUCCUCUUCCUCUUCAUCCUCUCACCAGUUGUCAGUAAAAUAGAAGCUUGGUUAAACGCUUAAGUUUUUUUUUAUCAUAAGUGAGUUAUGAUUCUCUUCCCCGGGAGAUAGGUUUUACAAAUGCCUUCUGACUGUAUUCAUUUUGUUUCAUAAACAAGGGCUUUAUGGGUGUGUGUUUGUGUAUGUGAAUGCUGUGUAUAUUUGCAUGUGUAUUUGGGUCUCUGUGUUUGUGCGUGUUUGCGUAUAUGUAACAGGCU